rnacentral:lncRNA from 1 species
AAACUUCCUCAUGAGACAAAAUUUGACCAGUGGAAGAAAGAAGUCAAAAGGAGGCAGCAGAUAAAUACCUUCCCCUUCUUUCCUUUAAAAGACUGUUCCAAGAUAGGAUUUCUCCAUACGGCCUUUCUGAGCACAUAGUGCCUGAUCCAGGAAGUGCCCCCGCUAACAGACUUUGCCUCUGAGAGUGUCAUCAGGAAGCAAAACACAUUGCAUGGUGUUGCUCCUUCUCUGCCACUAUUCCCUGUAUCUUUUCCUCCACUCUUGCUGCCCUAGAAUUGCAUGUCCCAGUUAAAAUCUGGGCUUAUACAAGUUGGUUUUGAAAGUUGGUUUUAAAAAUCAAUUAUGCCAACAGCAGCAAUUUAAAAUGGUGAUGUACACCUAUAUUCACUAACUAGGAAAGAGCUGCGAGUCAUAACUUUGGAGAUCCUGCUUUGUAUCAGGAAAUGACAUUGUGAUUCAUUUCACUACAAGUAGAAUAUUACAAAAUAUUUAUAGGAAAAUAUCAAAAAAUAACUCAAAAACAAAAGGCAAGGUAAAAUAAACUCGUUUUUCAGAAAUCUCUCGCUCCAGUGCCCACAGCACACAAAAAGAGAGUCAAAACAAAUAAGUAACUGAGAUCCUCGAUCACAAAUCUCCAAAGAACUGGAAAAGGGGAAGAAACAGGAUGAAAAUGGUGGUACAAAAAGGAAUGGAUGUGGCAGCACUGUUUCAAUAGCCAAUCGAUUCUGAAUGAGAUACCCUCUCUUAUAUGUAGUAAAUUCUGAACAAGGCUAAACUUUAGGAUAGCCCUUGAACUGAAAUAAGGUGUCACAGUAACCCUUCCAGCUUUCAUGAAAGUCCCAAAACAUCAUCCUUGGUCUGUACUGAGACAGGAAUGGAAGAACCAGAUUUGAGAGCUGCUUUGGCAAGAGGCACAGCAGAAUCAUCCACUGACUUUUCUUGGAGGAGUGGCAGUAGCCCUUUCAUUUUCCCGAUCUACUCUCAAUGCCAUGGGCACAAAUCAAAAUCCUGAAUUGAAAAGAAAACAAGAAUAAUAGCAGGAGAAGGCUCACACCCUCUACUUUAAAUUUUGACUUCUGUUGCUUUAUGAGAACGUCAAUGAAUCUGAGCAUGGUAAAAUGGCCUUGCCUUUGAUUUGCCAAGAUGUAAGGGCUAAUCACCAACAAGAAAUGCACAAAGCUUACAGUUUAAGAGCAUGUGUUUGAAGAGCAUGCGUUUGUAUUUGAGCGGACCUGAGUUCAAGUUUUGGCUCUGGCAUUAGUAGCUCCAUAACCUCGGAAAAGCCUCUAACCUCUCUGUGUUCUACAAAAUGAGAAUUAUCACUCUAACUACCUUGUAAGGUUGUGAUGAAGAUGAAAGACGACAACACGUUAAAGUGGUCAACACGGUACCCAGUAUGUUGACCAUGUUUAAUCAAUUUAGCUAUGAUUACUGUUUAUUAUUGCCAUUCUUCUCUUAGACCUUCUAAAGUUAAGGUAAAGGGCUCUGAAGUCCCUAUGCUGUAGCUGCUCCUAAACUGAAAAUGCCCUCAUCCUCUGACCCUCCUUGGUUAACAAUAUCUUGAGCAGUGCAUCACAACUUCGGUAAAAGGUUCUGAUUUUAAAGUUUAUAAAUUUAGAGAAUGUUGAUAUUUACUAUGCUGUAUUUUUUACUGUGUACUAUUUUAGUUUUUACUAAUAAAAUAGAAACCUAAACUCAGACAACUGCUUUAUUCUUGCAUCUAAUCUGACCAUAUAUUGUAGAAGCAAUUCUUUAUAAUGGGACUUAGGUGAGAGCUGUCAAUACAUCAGUUUGGCC